CUUGCUAAGGAGAGAGCUGGGCUUUCCAAGUUACCUGAUUUAAAAGAUGUUGAAGCAGUUCAGAAAUUCUUCCUUGAAGAGAUACAGCUUGGUGAAGAGUUACUAGCACAAGGUGACUACGAGAAGGGUGUGGACCACCUGACAAAUGCCACUGCUGUGUGUGGACAGCCUCAGCAGCUGCUGCAAAUGUUCCAGCAGACUCUUCCACCACCAGUGUUCCAGAUGCUCCCGACCAAGCUUCCAACCAUUAGUCAGAGAAUUGUAAGUGCUCAGAGCUUGGCUGAAGAUGAUGUGGAAUGA
rnacentral:lncRNA from 1 species